UAAUAAUGUACUGAUAUAUUUAUAUGUUAAAUUGACAAAAAUAUUUAUUACAUUAUGUCUGCUAAGUUUUAUCCUCUAGAACAAGUAAUCUUGGAAAAAUUAAGGUUUUUACAUCUGUGGCUAAACAACAACUGUUAUUUUAAAGUAUUGUCUUACAUUACAAAGUCUAGAUUUUCCUUUAAAAGCUAACCUUGGUUAAUAUAAAAAAUCAAUGAAAGUGUGGUACAUUACUCUUCUUUAUGGAUUAAAUGUGUUCAUAUCUUUCAGGUAAACAAGUCUUUAAGGUAAAAGGUUUAAAGGAACAUUUUAUCAAGCUGGUAUUCUCCAAACUAAAAUUGUCUGUAAUGAUAAUUUAAACUUACAAAGAUAAUAGAUUUUAUUGGAAAUUUAUUUAUAUUAUUUAAUGUUUUGUAACCAAAUCUUACGUUACCUUUUACACUAAAUUUAAAAAGUAAUGAGAGCCUAAUCUACUUAAAGGUUAAAUAUUAUAAAACAUUUUGCCACUUUUCCACAUAAAAAAUGUUAAGGGCUCUCAGCCUUUCCUUAAUUAAUGUUUCAGAUGUAUGUCAUAUUGUGCUACUAACAUUCAUACAGAGUCAAAAACAAUAUAUGUAAACUUUAUAAAAUGAUAUCUAAAAAGAGAGACAAAGAUCAGCUUUAAAACUAAAACACUUUAGCUAAGAUUGUUAAGAUAAGGCUGAGAUAAGGCUCUGCUUCCCACCUUACAACAUGUCAGAAUAACUUCAAAGUAGGCCAGAUUUCAGUUAAUUUAAAGUUAUAUUCAAAGAUUAAUUUAUUAAAAAGAUUACUAUGAUAUCAUAUAAAAAAUAUAAUGUAUAACUCAGCCAAGGUUCAAAAUUAUAUACAAGCCAAAUAUGUUUUUAUUAUUGUUGAUUUCACUUUAUAUUUUCAUUAUAUCUAAAAAAAAAAUGUGACCACUGCACUCAGAGCAACCAAGAGACCUUUACUGUG
rnacentral:lncRNA from 1 species